GGGAGGCAGCAGUAGGGAAUCUUUCGCAAUGGACGAAAGUCUGACGGAGCAACACCGCGUGAACGAUGAAGGUUUUCGGAUCGUAAAGUUCUGUUGUUAGGGAAGAACAAGUACCGUUCGAAUAGGGCGGUACCUUGACGGUACCUAACGAGAAAGCCCCGGCUAACUACGUGCCAGCAGCCGCGGUAAUACGUAGGGGGCAAGCGUUGUCCGGAAUUAUUGGGCGUAAAGCGCGCGCAGGUGGUUCCUUAAGUUUGAUGUGAAAGCCCACGGCUCAACCGUGGAGGGUCAUUGGAAACUGGGGAACUUGAGUGCAGGAGAGGAAAGUGGAAUUCCACGUGUAGCGGUGAAAUGCGUAGAGAUGUGGAGGAACACCAGUGGCGAAGGCGACUUUCUGGCCUGUAACUGACACUGAGGCGCGAAAGCGUGGGGAGCAAACAGGAUUAGAUACCCUGGUAGUCCACGCCGUAAACGAUGAGU
rnacentral:rRNA from 1 species